CGAGAAGGAUCUUCUGCUAAUAACGUGCACGUCCUGUGCGCAACGCAGAAGUCACCACAUCCUGUGGA
rfam:Sporolactobacillus laevolacticus DSM 442 Contig002, whole genome shotgun sequence.